GGUGGAAGAAGAGAGGGAGGGAGGGAGGAGAGAGAGAGAGAGAGCCGGGGGGGAGUGACACUGAUUCAAAGAUGAGCUCAGCUGCAGAGGCGUGGGCUGCUCUCUCUCUCUCGCUCUCCUCCCUCCUCCCCCUGUAGCUCCGUCU